rnacentral:rRNA from 1 species
UACGUAGGGGCAAGCGUUGUCCGGAAUCAUUGGGCGUAAAGCGCGCGUAGGCGGCUAGAUCAGUCUGCUGUAAAAAUCAAAGGCUCAACCUUUGAAAGCCGGUGGAUACUGUCUAGCUAGAGUCCGGAAGAGGCGAGUGGAAUUCCUGGUGUAGCGGUGGAAUGCGCAGAUAUCAGGAGGAACACCAACGGCGAAGGCAGCUCGCUGGGACGGUACUGACGCUAAGGCGCGAAAGCGUGGGGAGCGAACAGG